AAAGUAGUUCAGGUUUAGUGCUCCAUAUCGUGUUAGUAUUGGUGAGUAGGUGUAGUGUAGUAUGGUUGCGGUGACUCUGUGGGCAUUUUACCCGCGAUUCUGCACGUCUCCGUUUGAAGAGGGAGGCUGCCCACCGUGGCUCUUCUUCCGCGAUUUAGAUGCAGCCCACCGACUCUGCUCCCCCACCACGGCGGGCUCCAGUCUGAGGUGAGUAAGCUAAAUAAACGUUUUAACAUCUUCUAAAGACAAUUCCCUACCUAAAUGCAAAGUCUGAGAGACGUGGUUCACUUCCUUUAGCUAGUCAGUCGGCAAUUCUGCAACAGUGGCUCUAACUAACAGCACUAGUGGACAGACAGCAUUACAGCGUGAAAUCCAGCACAGCGUGACCCGGUUCUGUAAGGAAUUCUGUUCAGGAGGUCACAUUUCAGGCUCUCCACAUCAUGUGUGACUGACUUUUACGUUAUAACGAUCACACACUAGGAAUGUUAUAAAGCAAUAGGAGAUUCUUUUGUAUAUUAUCUGACUUUAUAAACUCCCAACAACAAUGUGCUUAUUUUUUUUUUCAGGCUAAAUCUACCCAAGACACUGGCUGUCAGACUGAUUUAGCUGCAAGAAUGCACUUGUCCAGGCUGACGUGAAACCUUCCCUGUAGCAAAGCCAGCCAGAAUGGAGUUCACAGCCGCAGUGUGUCUGGUGACCCACGGGGACCAUGAUGAAAAUUCAUCUUCCAGAAGGUCCCAGAGCGUCCACACCCCCUGAAAAGACCAAGGUGUGAGGUGUCUGCUGUUGAUUCCAGCUUCCACCUCAGUGACAGUGCAAGCUCAGUGAACUGUUCAAGCCUGGCUGAUCACCUGAUAACUCCUGUCAUCUGGUUAUGACAGCAUGAGGAUGUCCUCACACACCUGUAACCUAUCAGCUCAUCUGGCAGAAUAGAGAGAGAAGAUACAACACCACAUCUCCUGUUCCUGGAAAGCCUUCAGCCAUCCUUCGAUGACUGAGAACCUCCAUCAGCUCUGUCUCCUGUCUGCCUACAAUUAUUAUAAUAAAUAUUGUGUUUGACAAGUUUUUUUGUGCUGCCAAAUAUCUCAUAUAGAUUCCAGUUUUGAUAUUUUAAUGGA